GGUGAGUAAACCCGUAAGGCGC
rnacentral:siRNA from 1 species